GCUGUGGAACGGAGAUGAUCUAUGACUCAGGUUCUCGUUUGAUCACAUUACCAGAAGGUGGCAAAGCUUAAACCUAUGAGCCAAGGGAAAUGUAUGUAAAAUUGAUAUACUAACAGAUGAAGAGGUGAAGAAAUUAAAGAAGAAGAAGAAGAAAAGCAAAAGACUUUGUUUGUGUGCUUUUUGGUAUAAUCUUCAGAUCUUUUCUUGUAGUUGUCAUUGACUUAUACUGUGUCGGUAAGUAAUGUGAGGCGCAAUCAAAGAAAAACAUCGUAUGGUUACUUCUUUGAGAAACUUUGCUCUCAUUAGAAAACCAGGAAAAAUAGCACCACCUUGGUUGAUUUUGAAAUAAUACUUUUAUUUCAUUUUUUGUUUGUUUGUUAUA